rnacentral:misc_RNA from 1 species
AGGAUUGAGGGAAUUAACACUAUGAAUAGGAGAAUAAUGGAAAGGCUAUUUGCUUUUGCCCGUAUGGAAUGGUUUUGCCCAUGGAGAGAGGUUGUCGCCUAUUGUAGAAAGAGGCUUUGCUAAUUCUUGGGAUUUGAAUCAACCCUCUAAUGAGGGGUACUUGCCCAUUGUAGUGGAUAGAGGCUUCAACCUAUGAUGGAGAAAGGGUAUAGAAUUCAAGAGGAAGAGAUUCAUGUCCAUUGGUAAAAGGGCUCUUAUCUCAUAUAGUUGAAGACACUCUUUGUGGUG